UGAGCAAUCUGCCCUUCUCAUCGGAAUAAGCGUUGGAAACGACGUCUAAUGCCGAAUACGACCUCCUUUCGCAUGAUCGGAGGUGGAAAGCUCCGGCGGAGAAGGAUGAGCUCGCGGCCUAUCAGCUAGUUGGUGUGGGUAAUGGCCCACCAAGGCGACGACGGGUAGCUGGUCUGAGAGGAUGAUCAGCCACAUUGGGACUGAGACACGGCCCAGACUCCG
rnacentral:rRNA from 1 species